rnacentral:rRNA from 1 species
CUACGGGUUGCUGCAGUGGGGAAUAUUGCACAAUGGGCGCAAGCCUGAUGCAGCCAUGCCGCGUGUAUGAAGAAGGCCUUCGGGUUGUAAAGUACUUUCAGCGGGGAGGAAGGGAGUAAAGUUAAUACCUUUGCUCAUUGACGUUACCCGCAGAAGAAGCACCGGCUAACUCCGUGCCAUCAGCCGCGGUAAUACGGAGGGUGCAAGCGUUAAUCGGAAUUACUGGGCGUAAAGCGCACGCAGGCGGUUUGUUAAGUCAGAUGUGAAAUCCCCGGGCUCAACCUGGGACCUGCAUCUGAUACUGGCAAGCUUGAGUCUCGUAGAGGGGGGUAGAAUUCCAGGUGUAGCGGUGAAAUGCGUAGAGAUCUGGAGGAAUACCGGUGGCGAAGGCGGCCCCCUGGACGAAGACUGACGCUCAGGUGCGAAAGCGUGGGGAGCAAACAGGAUUAGAUACCCUCGUAGUC